AGGAGUUCUUGAUUCCUAUGACCCCAUUAAAAAGAAGCACAAGGUGAGAUGGCCCCAGCUUAACCCUACUUUAGCCAUUCCAAAAUGCUCAUCCCUGUUAGAGUAAUUGGCAAUCACAGAACAUUUCAGAAUCAUCUUAAUGCUUCUCUCAUUAUGACAGUUGUAUCUUCAUCUUUCAUUUCUCCAUAUUAUAGCUCAAGCGCCUUUGCUGAUGACAUUGUUUAGGUUUUGUAUGCUGAUGGGGAUG
rnacentral:misc_RNA from 1 species